UACGUAGGGUGCAGGCGUUAAUCGGAAUUACUGGGCGUAAAGCGUGCGUAGGCGGUUUCUUAAGUCAGAUGUGAAAGCCCCGGGCUUAACCUGGGAACUGCGUUUGAAACUGGGAGACUUGAGUGUGGCAGAGGGGGGUGGAAUUCCACGUGUAGCAGUGAAAUGCGUAGAUAUGUGGAGGAACACCGAUGGCGAAGGCAGCCCCCUGGGUUAACACUGACGCUCAUGCACGAAAGCGUGGGGAGCAAACAGG
rnacentral:rRNA from 1 species